AAGACCUUGCACUUUUGGAGCGGCCGAUGUCUGAUUAGCUAGUUGGUGGGGUAAUGGCCUACCAAAGCUUCGAUCAGUAGCUGGUCUGAGAGGACGGCCAGCCACACCGGGACUGAGACACGGCCCAGACUCCUACGGGAGGCAGCAGUGGGGAAUUUUGGACAAUGGGGGCAACCCUGAUCCAGCCAUGCCGCGUGAGUGAAGAAGGCCUUCGGGUUGUAAAGCUCUUUCGGCCGGAACGAAAUCGCAUCUCCUAAUACGAGGUGUGGAUGACGGUACCGGAAGAAGAAGCACCGGCUAACUACGUGCCAGCAGCCGCGGUAAUACGUAGGGUGCAAGCGUUAAUCGGAAUUACUGGGCGUAAAGCGUGCGCAGGCGGCUCUUCAAGUCAGAUGUGAAAGCCCCGGGCUUAACCUGGGAACU
rnacentral:rRNA from 1 species